rnacentral:tRNA from 1 species
GCGGGAGUAGCUCAGUUGGUAGAGCGACAGCUUCCCAAGCUGUAGGUCGUGGGUUCGAGACCCAUUUCCCGCU